rnacentral:rRNA from 1 species
GAUGAACGCUGGCGGCGUGCCUAAUACAUGCAAGUCGAGCGAACAGACGAGGAGCUUGCUCCUCUGACGUUAGCGGCGGACGGGUGAGUAACACGUGGAUAACCUACCUAUAAGACUGGGAUAACUUCGGGAAACCGGAGCUAAUACCGGAUAAUAUAUUGAACCGCAUGGUUCAAUAGUGAAAGACGGUUUUGCUGUCACUUAUAGAUGGAUCCGCGCCGCACUAGCUAGUUGGUAAGGUAACGGCUUACCAAGGCGACGAUGCGUAGCCGACCUGAGAGGGUGAUCGGCCACACUGGAACUGAGACACGGUCCAGACUCCUACGGGAGGCAGCAGUAGGGAAUCUUCCGCAAUGGGCGAAAGCCUGACGGAGCAACGCCGCGUGAGUGAUGAAGGUCUUCGGGUCGUAAAACUCUGUUAUUAGGGAAGAACAAAUGUGUAAGUAACUAUGCACGUCUUGACGGUACCUAAUCAGAAAGCCACGGCUAACUACGUG